rnacentral:rRNA from 1 species
UACAGAGGAGCCAAGCGUUGUCCGGAUUGACUGGGCGUAAAGCGCACGCAGGCGGACGCGCGCGUGGGGUGUGAAAUCUGGCCGCUUAACGGCCAGGGGCCAUCCCAUACGGCACGACUGGAGGGCUGCAGAGGUCGAUGGAAUUGCCGGUGUAGUGGUGAAAUGCGUAGAGAUCGGCAGGAACACCCAGGGGGAAACCAGUCGACUGGGCAGCACCUGACGCUGAGGUGCGAGAGCGUGGGGAGCGAACCGG